GCAGUCUUUAACUUCAAGAGAGACUAACCCAUAGUUGAGCUAAACAGAUGCUCCGCUGAGAGUCUGAUGAAACUGUGAAGUGAAGCGUCUCGUAGAACGUACGAUCAGUGCUCGAAAGCACAUUUCAGAUAAGAUUGCCUUCAUAAGAGCGGACCACUAAAAACGAAGUGGCAAACAAUUUUUGAAAAGCUGUCGAAGGUUCAGCGAUGUUUCCUUCAAAAGCUUUGGAAGACCAUCAGGAAUCAGAGAGCAUCAUCAUCAUCAUCCUAAGUCCGACAGCUCUCGGCAUCGUUUUCUUGCAGGUAGCUAGCCUAUGGUAUCACCGAAUAGCCCUAAAAGCAGUUUUCUAUGUCGUGUGCGCGCUAGCACGAUUUUCGGCAAAGGGCAAUGUUUGUUUUCAUUCCCUUCAUGAUGACAGCAAACGUUGUGAUGACAUGAGAGAGAAGAUUGACGACAGGCAAACACGGGGCUUCACAGACGUCAAAGAAUUAAAAGAAAAGCGAGGCGAUGUACAUUUCAUGAAGCGAAAUAAUACCGAAUACGGCUGCAGACGAAUAAUCCUCGAACAAAAUAAUCACCAGGGAUUGGCACCACUGCUCAGUCGUGACAAGCUGACGUCAUGCUGCACAGACAAGGCGUUGGGAGCAGACUUACACCAAGAACUGGAAUUACAUCGGCAAUACGCCCUACCAUUGUGUGGCGACGUAGGAUUUGAAAAGCCUUCUCAUCUCGUGCUCGACAUCAUUAUCCCCACGACCCUUGCUGCCCCUUGUUUGACGUCGCGUGUAGUCGUUUUCUCACUGCGCGAGAUCGCACUCUGCAAAAUCCAGGAGUGCACCACCAUAAGGGCAUGCGGAGCGAUCGCCAGGUCACGCGACAAAACCUUUGAGAAAAGGAGCAAAAAGCAGUUCGCGUCAGAGGACAGGGACGUCGGAGAGGGCGAGGAGGUUGACGGUACAAGCAGCAGCAGCUUGUCUCCGGAAUAUCACGACUUGCACGGUGCUCAGAGCACGUCUUCCUUUUCACAAGCUUCAGAGGAAGACGAGCUGCCCACAAAGUCGGUUCCGGAAGUAGGCGUAGCUAGCGACGACAGCAACAACAAUAGCAGCAGCAGCAGCCCCGACAACAGCAGGAGUUGCACGUCGUCCUCUCCGGAAAACGUCAGCGCUGAUGAUCUCAACACGAGUGAAUCAGGUCUGGGAGCCGUGAACCACUCCAGUCAAACAUCGCAAGUGAAUGCCACCGUGGAUAGAGUUCAUGUAGGAAAUAGAAGUUCCAUAAAUAUGAAAUCGAGCCCUCCCAUGGUAUGCAAGCAGAGGCAGCCGACGCCGGAAGACUUUGUUGGGUUCCUCGGAAAGACAGAAAAAAUGCUGAUGAUGGACUUUGUAAAGAUGUACAAGAGCCUUCAACUCACUCCUGGAGACUGCACAUUGAACAUUUCCAAAGACGAGGAACUGAACAAGAAGAAGGGAUGUGAAGAAGAUGGAAGGCAGAAAAAAGAGGAAAGUUUGGUGGAGUUUGAUUUGGCGGAAACGCUCUACCUACCCUCACGUCUAGCACCGCGGUAUCCGGUCUGCGCGACGGUUAACAUGAUGAGGGCUGUGCAGGGCAACACCAACCAUCUACAGCCGCAGCAACAGCAGCAGCAGUCGCUUCCCCUUCGUGCAAUACAUGGCAACUACGAGAACGAGCUGCACCGACUGGCAAGCCUGGCUUACCUCCCCGAUUUGGGCUUCAACCUGUUCAUGAUCCCUGUGGCGGCAGCGGGCUUCUAUUUCCCGGAAGGCGAAGAGGCGGAGCGAUUGCAGUGCGCCUUUUGCAACGUGGCGGAGUCUGUGCACAGCUUUCGGGACAGGCGACCAAUGGACGUCCACCGCGAGUUGUCUCCCAGCUGCCCCUUGGUGCUGGGCCAGACGAGCAGCAACGUCACCAUCGCCGACCAUGCCCACAGCUCGGCCAUGCACUUCCUGUUGAGCCACCAAUCUGACAUCAGAACCGACGCCCAGCAACGAACAUGGCAGCCAUCUGCGGGUCUCGUGACGCCGGAAGAGCCUGGACGCUCAGAUGUCGUUUCGUCCGGCACGACCGACCUUAGCGUGGAUGGAGAAGCCUCAGUCAGGCAGUUGCCGCUGCCAGCACUGCCCACCGCCAAAGGACUCGCCGAAUUGCAGCAGACAGCAAGGCCUUUGUCGGUCGCUGGUUCCAACAGCGUGCCCGUCAUCCCUGCCACCUUCGAGCCUUUAGGGAAGCCGUUUUCGGCAUCUCCAGCCUCGUCCACCGCGGGCCGAGUUGCUGGCGGUCAGACUGUGGCCGACCACGCGUCAGCGCCCCGAUCUUUCUCGUCUAUUCAGCCUCAGAGCAGCCAGCCGAGACAGCCUGUGUCAUCCGCACGGCGAGAACACGAUCCACCCGCCAGCACUACAGAACCGUCUAGUGGACCUCCUAGCACUGAGCGAAAGGUGGUUACAUACGAGCAGUUGGGCAUCAUCAACCAAAAGCCAGUCAGGCCGGACCUAGCCGUGGCCGCCACUCGUAUCAGCACCUUCACCGCUGGUGAAUGGCCACAUAUGCGCACACACCCUCCUGAGCUUAUGGCAGAGGCUGGAUUUUACUAUACAGCUCACGUAGACCUGGUGAGGUGUUUCUACUGCAAAGGUGGUCUCAAGACGUGGAUGGAGACCGACAACCCAUGGAUCGAGCACGCGCGCUGGUUCCCCAAGUGCCCCUACGUGCGGCUGUGCAAGGGCCCCAAGUUCGUGGAAGCCGUCCGAAUUCUUAACGACCCCGACACUGUACGAGAGAUAUCAAUGGAUAGUAUCAAGAGUGAGAUCAGAAGAAUGGAGGAAGAGGAAAGGAGGAACGUGGAGCAGAUCCAGCCGCAGUCUCCUGUGGACUCCAAGCCUUUUCUGAUGCUGAUGACACCAAAGACAGACGGUGCAGUGGCAUCUGAGGUCGAGAUGGGAGCUGUAGGAGAAGAGGAGUCGUUCCUGGAAACGUCUGGGGAUGACGCCGACAGUGACCGCCUUGAGAAACUGUCGACGCGGCUGCAGAGUGAGAACGAGGAGAUGAAAGGCAUGACGACGUGCAAGAUCUGCCAGCAGCGACAGGUCAACGUGCUCUUCCUGCCUUGCGGUCACCUCAUUGCGUGCGCGCAGUGCGCAACGGCCCUGCGAACAUGCGCCGUGUGCCGGCAGCCGGUGAAGGGCGCAGUGCGCGUGCAGUCUGACAGUAACGACGAUGACGACGAGAUGGAGGAUCAGUGAGAUGUCUGGCGACCUGCAGGUAGCUCAUGACUCAGCUUGCCGGGCGGUGGAGGAGGAAGGAAGGGGUCAGCAUGGGAUCAGCAUGCAGCCACCGUCUGUUGUUACAAUGGACUCAACAAGCUACUCGCGGAAGGUUUGUUACUUGUGAACAGCCCUCUUUGUAUCCUUUAUUAUGAACAAUUAGCAACGCAUAUAUUAGGACAAGGGCAGAGAGUGCCGUGUCGUCAUCACAAUAACAACUAGUUUUCUAUAUAAACUCAAGUCCUGGAAGUAUGAAGUAUUUCAGGCGUGUUUGACGGUUCUUGGUCGAUGUGAACUGUUAGUCAUCGUCCUUAGCUACCUAAUUUAUUGUUUUGAUAGCAAGCAUGCCGUCUUCACUCGGCGUGGAGGCCUCGUCCUUUAAAUCAAAAUAAAGUUUACGUUUUGCCAGCACUAGGUGAAACAGAAUUUGUUUCGUCAAAGUUCAUAUACUCUUACAUCUCCUGUGUCAUUUAAAUUUAAAGCAGUGGACGUGCUUGGAUGGUUGGAAUGACUAAUUCUACAAGUCGCUACCAGAAUGUCACGUGGCCUCAAGCAUCUUUUGAAUUUGUAAAAUUAAACGUAAAAUUAAAAAAAAUAAGCCUGACAAGGAACCCUCAGAUUAAAGACCCACGCCAACCGAAACACUGAACGGCCCUCAGCCAUCUUCAGUUUCUUCGCCAAAUUAUAAUUGCUUUCUUUCAAGCUUUUAAGGAGACUUUCCCCUUUUUUAAAAAAAAAAAGUUAAGGGUUGAGGUAGUGUACUCUAUAUCAUACAUGCUGUUAACGAGUUUGCCUGGGUGCCAAACGUUUUCAAUAACAUAUCGUGCGCAUUAUAUCUAGUCACAGGAAAGCUUUAUAACUGUGUCAAGCAUGGGGGUGGGGGGAUUUUAAGAAAACAAUGAACCUUACCUUGUUCGAUCUUUUUGACAUGUUAACAAUGGAAGUGCUGUGGCAAUCACUAUUUUUCAUCCUACUUCCAAGACCCUUCAAAUCAAACAUCAAUCGGGCGAAGACGAGGGCAUAGCCAGGCGCGGAUAUUAACAAUGACCACAACCUCUUACAGAACCUACGACUGAAGCUGAACGUGAAGCGUCACGCGCCCAACUCGCGCAUUCGCUUUGACCUAUAAAAACUGCGAGGCCAAAUAUCGCUCAACUCCUGAUCGACUGUAAAAAAACCGCAAUACUGAAAGUAAAAUAGUACAACAUGCAGGUUCUACAGAAUUUGAAGGGUGGCAGACUUUUAAAGAAUCGACGAGGACGUUAAAUCUAUUUGAACUAAUAUCUGGUUUAGAUAUUAGAUAAAUUUAGACA